UACGUAGGGGGCAAGCGUUGUCCGGAUUUAUUGGGCGUAAAGAGCGUGUAGGCGGUCAGGUAGGUCGGUUGUGAAAACUGGAGGCUCAACCUUCAGAGGUCGACCGAAACCCCCUGGCUAGAGUCCGGGAGAGGAGAGUGGAAUUCCUGGUGUAGCGGUGAAAUGCGCAGAUAUCAGGAAGAACACCCGUGGCGAAAGCGGCUCUCUGGAACGGUACUGACGCCGAGACGCGAAAGCGUGGGGAGCGAACAGG
rnacentral:rRNA from 1 species